ACAUGGAUAACCGUGGUAAUUCUAGAGCUAAUACAUGCUGUUAAGCCCGACUUCUGGAAGGGCCGUAUUUAUUAGAUAACAGACCAAUAUUCCUCGUGUCUAUUGUGGUGAAUCAUAGUAACUUUUCGGAUCGUAUGGGCUAGGCCCUCGACAAACCAUUCAAGUUUCUGCCCCAUCAGCUUUCGAUGGUAGUGUAUUGGACUACCAUGGCUUUCACGGGUAACGGAGGAUUAGGGUUCGAUUCCGGAGAGGGAGCCUGAGAAACGGCUACCACAUCUAAGGAAGGCAGCAGGCGCGUAAAUUACCCAAUUCUGACUCAGAGAGGUAGUGACAAGAAAUAACGGGCCGGGAUUUUCCUCCCUGGAGUGCAAUGAACCAAAUCUACACCCCUUCGUAAAUAACAUGU
rnacentral:rRNA from 1 species